rnacentral:misc_RNA from 1 species
UGGUUCUGGCAUCGAUGAAGAACGCAGCGAAAUGCGAUACGUAAUGUGAAUUGCAGAAUUCAGUGAAUCAUCGAAUCUUUGAACGCACAUUGCGCCUAAGAGUAUUCUUUUAGGCAUGCUUGUUCGAGCGUCGUUUAACAUUCUAAGACUUUGUCUUUUGUUGAUAUAUUGGAUUUUCUUUGGGGAAAGUUCAAGUAUCUAAAUAUGUUGGCAAAUUGAAAAUGACUUGAUACGCAGCGAAAUGCGAUUGAAACUCAUAAAGAAAAUUUGGCCAGUUUCUCUACAAAAGUUCGACCUCGAAUCAAGUAAGAUUACCCGCUGA